rnacentral:rRNA from 1 species
AUGACAGAAGCUAACGUCGGGUCUGCGGAGAACUCAGUGAGUGCUCCUGCCGAGUCUGGAGGCACCAUGACUGAAGCUAACCCGUGGUCUGUGGAGAAUGAAGCGAGUGCUCCUGCUGAGGCUGUAGGUGUGACUGAAUGUAGUCUGGGCUCAGCACAGAUUGCAUUGGCGAUUACCGCUGCUGUUGAGGCUGUAAGUGGGACAGAAUGUGAUCUGGGCUCUGCAGAGAUGGCAUUGGCAAGUGCUGCUCCUCUCGAGGCAGUAGGUGUGACCAAAUGUAAUCUGGGCACUGCAGAGAUGACAUUGAAGAGUGUUGCCGCUGUUGAGGCUGUAGGUGAAACUGAAUCCAACCUUGGCUUAUCAGAGAACGUGGAGAGUGCUCCUGCCGGGGCUGGAGGCGCGGUGAUUGAAGCUAAACUGGUCUCUUCAGAGAACGUGGACGCUGCUGCUCCUAUGGAGGCUGAGUCUAUCAUGGGCUCUUCAGAGAAGACAGCGAGUUGUCGUGCCGAGGCUGGAGGCGCAACGACUGAAGCUCAGCUGGGCUAUACAGAAGGGAAUGCUCGUGUGGACGCUGCGAGUGCUUGUGUCGCCGAGGCCGGAGGCGCAACGACUGAAGCUCAGCUGGGCUAUGCACAAGGGAAUGCUCUUGUGGACGCUGCGUAG